rnacentral:lncRNA from 1 species
UUUGGGGGCGGUGUUUACAGACUGGACUGGUUCUUUUCUGUCGGCCGUCCUGCUCUUAGCUGGGUUUCUGAACCUCCGAAGUUUUCCAGCUAGGUUCGGAAAAAACGAAAAUACAGCUCAGGAACACCAGCCGAUGCCUAUGCCAGUUCACCUCUGGCAGUGGCUGUACUGCUGGUCCACACAGCAGCCAAGACCAGCUCCACGUUCUUUCCUCCCCCUCAUUUCACUGGAGCCGGGAGCCCUGCACUCAGGGGAAGGGCCUCAGCUCUACAGACUGCCAAAGUCGGCUGGGUCCCUCCGGCUCCAAAAAUGGUGAGAAAGGAACUCAUCUUUUUCCACAGAGGAAUCAGAAGCAG